rnacentral:ncRNA from 1 species
GGAGUAGGAAUAAGCGCGUUAAGUACCGGUCGGAUGGGAGGUUGCCGCCGGGCGAAGGAGCUUCGGCUCCGCGAUACGGUUACCGCAACCGCCUG